rnacentral:tRNA from 1 species
GGCGCUAUAGCCAAGUGGUUACGGCGACAGAUUCGAAUCACUUUUCUAUCUGUUCCUCUUUGAGGGCGCAGGUUCAAAUCCUGCUGGCGUCG